GCCUGUGUUUCAGUACCAGUGCCUGGUGGAGGGCUGCGCGGAGAGGUUCCGGAGCGGCGGGGACCGGAAGGAGCACCUGGUGCGGCGGCACCUGUACCCGGCGGACUUCCGGUUCGACAAGCCGAAGCGGAGCGGAGGCCCAGCCACGCCCGGGGCCGCCGUGCAGGACUCCGCGGAAGCUCCGGGGGAGGCCGAGGAGCAGUCCGGAGGGGACGCCAUGGAAGUCUGCUCCGAUCGCGCAGCCCCCUGCCCGGAACCUGUGGGCCAGCGGCGGGCGUCCAGCCACAGAAUACCUUCUACCAUCUGUUUCGGUCAAGGUGCGUCACGAGGAUUUAAAAGCACCAAGAAAAGAAAGGAACACCAGUGAAAAUAUGGACAGGGAGCCACAGGCCUCCCAGCAGACCCCAGGGGACAGUUGCCUUUGGCAGGAUGCGGUGUCCGUGGUGCGGCUUCUCUCGCCUUCUGCUGCGGCCACACUAGGACUUGGGCCUUUGCCA
rnacentral:lncRNA from 1 species